UACAGAGACUGCAAGCGUUAUUCGGAUUCACUGGGCGUAAAGGGUGCGCAGGCGGCCGUGCGUGUGAGGCGUGAAAGCCCGGAGCUCAACUCCGGGACUGCCUUGGAUACGGGAUCGCUUGAGGAUUGGAGAGGCAAGGGGAAUUCCACGUGUAGCGGUGAAAUGCGUAGAGAUGUGGAGGAACACCUGUGGCGAAGGCGCCUUGCUGGCCAAUUUCUGACGCUGAGGCGCGAAAGCGUGGGGAGCAAACAGG
rnacentral:rRNA from 1 species